CUGGCCAAGUCCUGGUGCUUCAGAAGGGGGGAUGCAGGGAUAAGGGCUAUUAUUAUCCCUGUUAUUUUUUAUUUGGGAAGUGCUCCUACCGCCUCAAGCGCUCCCGGGAUUGCCGGCAAGAGCCUUCCUGUCCUUGGAACACGGGAUUUCUGGGAUCCAAGGGUGUGACUGGAGAUGAGCUAUGAGCUGUGGGAUGGAUGUGCUAACAACCUUUGGCAGAAAGGAGAGGACUGGACCAGCACUUCAUCCCGGCUGGAGACAUUCCAGGGCCAAGGAAUUGCCACACCAAGGAGCGGCUGGGAAGUGAGAGUCGGACAAAGCGGCGGAAGCCAGGGUGAAACAUCUCACAAAGGCCAACUAUCGCCCGGCUUUCCCAAGCAGACAUUAUUCCAUGCCACAGCAUUGGAUACAACUGGAGCCCAACUUGGCUUUGAAGGUGAUGCUCCAAAACUCCAAAACUCCACAUGAUGCUCCAAAACUCCAAAAUCCAGGUGAUGCUCCAAAGCUCCAGAACUCCAAAAUCCAGAUAAUGCUUCAAAACUCCAAAAUCCAGGUGAUGCUCCAAAACUCCAAAGUCCAGGUAAUGCUCCAAACUCCAGGUGAUGCUCCAAAACUACUCCAAAAUCCAGAUAAUGCUCCAAACUCCAGGUGAUGCUCCAAAACUACUCCAAAAUCCAGGUGAUGCUCCAAAGCUCCAAAACUCCAAAAUCCAGAUAAUGCUUCAAAACUCCAAAAUCCAGGUGACGCUCCAAAAACUCCAAAGUCCAGGUAAUGCUUCAAAACUCGAGGUGAUGCUCCAAAACUCCAAAAUCCAGAUAAUGCUC